rnacentral:rRNA from 1 species
UACAGAGGGGGCAAGCGUUGUUCGGAAUUACUGGGCGUAAAGGGCGCGUAGGCGGCCUGCUAAGUCGAACGUGAAAUCCCUGGGCUCAACCCAGGAACUGCGUCCGAUACUGGUUGGCUUGAAUCCGGGAGAGGGACGUGGAAUUCCAGGUGUAGCGGUGAAAUGCGUAGAUAUCAGGAGGAACACCGGUGGCGAAGGCGGUUCUCUGGGCAUUACCUGACGCUGAGGAGCGAAAGCAUGGGGAGCGAACAGG